rnacentral:lncRNA from 1 species
CCCGGCCUUGAUCAAGCACUCAAUCCUAUGCCUUAACCUAUUACAAUCUUCAGUAUCAUGCCCCUGAACUCCAGAGUGGAAAGCACACCGCUUUCUUUCAUCGAACCAUUUAGGUAAUGGGUUAGGAAUCUUCCCCAGGUCGAUUUACAAUAAAUUUACAGCUCUCAGUUUCUCAAACAAAAGUGUCAAUGGUUAAACAAACUGAGUAUGACUUCGAUUGCGCUUGC